rnacentral:lncRNA from 1 species
AUACAGGGCCUGCUUCGGAUCCAAUAUGGAUACAUAACGGUAUGCCGACGGGUUUUGACGUUACUACCACGGAUAAUGAAGAACAGGAUUCAUGUUGGCGACAUGAGUGAUACGGUUUCUUACGGUAAGACACGGUUUAGUACGCAACGAAACUGUCAUGACGUAUGAAGUGCAGAUAGACAACGGUUUUCUACGCUAUAAGUAAGGGUUAGUACAAAUGAGAACG